AAAAGAAAGCGAUGUUGGUGAGGUUCAAUCUGAAGACGAAUUUACAGAUGAAUAGUAAAUUCGAUCUCUGAUUGAGCCGCGCCAAUAUCACUCUCUCUCUC
rfam:Macleaya cordata isolate BLH2017 scaffold9067, whole genome shotgun sequence.